GACGAACGCUGGCGGCGUGCUUAACACAUGCAAGUCGAACGGACAGACAGAGAGCUUGCUCUCUUGAAGUUAGUGGCGAACGGGUGAGUAACGCGUAAUCAACCUGCCCUUCAGAGGGGGAUAACAACGGGAAACCGUUGCUAAUACCGCGUACGAUUCAUGAACGGCAUCGUUUAUGAAUGAAAGGUGGCCUCUAUGUAUAAGCUAUCGCUGAAGGAGGGGAUUGCGUCUGAUUAGCUAGUUGGGGGGGUAACGGCCCACCAAGGCAAUGAUCAGUAGCCGGUCUGAGAGGAUGAACGGCCACAUUGGGACUGAGACACGGCCCAAAGUCCUACGGGAGGCAGCAGUGGGGAAUCUUCCGCAAUGGACGAAAGUCUGACGGAGCAACGCCGCGUGAGUGAUGAAGGUCUUCGGAUUGUAAAGCUCUGUUAAUCGGGACGAAAGAGUUCUGCGUGAAUAAUGCAGAAAAGUGACGGUACCGGAAUAGAAAGCCACGGCUAUCUACGUGCCAGCAGCCGCCGCCG
rnacentral:rRNA from 1 species